UGAUAACAGGGUCGAAAAGUCACAGACCGUCCAUGCUUGCAUGGGAAGGGCUGUGACCUUGAGACCCGCCGAAUAUGAGAACGAAGCGCAUCGCGCGUAGUUCGAAUAUUCGCAGGAUUGCGACAGUUGCGCCAGCAACGGAGCAAGCCGUUGGUUUCA
rnacentral:sRNA from 1 species